rnacentral:ncRNA from 1 species
ACCUGCGCGGCCAUCUCGCGGUCAGUUAAUCCACCACAGAUCUGAAUCAAGCGGUCAGAGAGCGUGGAUUUACCGUGGUCAAUGUGGGCGAUGAUGGAGAAAUUUCUUAUGUGCUUCAUUUAUAGAGAUAUCUUCACGUAGAGAAUCAGUUAGAAACCUGAGCACAGACACAUUCAGGAAGAUCGCUCUUAACCCACAAUCCUGUCAGCCUCAUUAAUGACGACGCAUAUUACACUGUUAAGGCCGCGCAUAAAAGAAUGGAACGUCGUGGAAACGAAACAGUUUUUUGCGCGUCAGGCUUAAGACAAAAGUCGCAACAAGUGCGGCUUAAGCAGGGGUCAGGCUUCGCUUUCAACACGAAGCGCAUCUGGGGGCAAGGCGAUAUUAAGGAUAACCGGCUGGAAGGCCUCACUAUCGCCAAAUUUCAUGGAAAUGCCUUUGGCGACGAUAAAGCCGCCAACUCCGCCUAAUAGCGCGCCGCAGGCGGCGGCCAGGUCGCUGCCGAACAGGGCCUGGAACAGACCCGCGAACAGAAACAGGCCAAACAGCGGCGUCAUGUAUACCAGCAGUGCCGAACCGAGCAGGCUGCUCUCUUUGAUGCCCAGUUCGACACGUUGGCCCGGAGCCAGGGGCUUGCUACUGGCGAUUUGCAUCACAUGCGCAUUCUUUGGCCCCAGCUUAUUCAGCAUAUGGCUGCCACAGCCUUUGCGUGCCUGGCAGCUGUUGCAGGAGGUUUUGGCUUCGGUAUGCAGUGUCGCGAUACCAUCCUGCCAUGCCACCACGGUGGCCCAUUCUCUCAUCAUUUUUUUGCCCCAGGAUUAACACUGUCCGCGAUACGU